rnacentral:rRNA from 1 species
UACGUAGGCAGCGAGCGUUGUUCGGAAUUACUGGGCGUAAAGAGUGUGUAGGCGGUGUUCCAAGUUCGGUGUGAAAUCUCCGGGCUUAACCCGGAGCGGCCAAGUGAUACUGUCGUGCUAGAGUGCGGAAGGGGCUACUGGAAUUCUCGGUGUAGCGGUGAAAUGCGUAGAUAUCGAGAGGAACACCUGCGGCGAAGGCGGGUAGCUGGGCCGACACUGACGCUGAGGCGCGAAAGCGUGGGGAGCGAACAGG